UACGGGGGGGGUAAGCGUUGUUCGGAAUUACUGGGCGUAAAGGGCUCGUAGGCGGCCAACUAAGUCAUACGUGAAAUCCCUCAGCUUAACUGGGGAACUGCGUGUGAUACUGGAUGGCUUGGAUUUGGGAGAGGGAUGCGGAAUUCCAGGUGUAGCGGUGAAAUGCGUAGAUAUCUGGAGGAACACCGGUGGCGAAGGCGGCAUUCUGGACCGACAUUGACGCUGAGGAGCGAAAGCCAGGGGAGCGAACGGG
rnacentral:rRNA from 1 species